rnacentral:rRNA from 1 species
UACGUAGGGUGCGAGCGUUGUCCGGAAUUAUUGGGCGUAAAGGGCUCGUAGGCGGUCUGUUGCGUCGGGAGUGAAAACUCAGGGCUUAACCCUGAGCCUGCUUCCGAUACGGGCAGACUAGAGGUAUGCAGGGGAGAACGGAAUUCCUGGUGUAGCGGUGAAAUGCGCAGAUAUCAGGAGGAACACCGGUGGCGAAGGCGGUCUCUGGACAGUUCCUGACGCUGAGGCACGAAGGUCAGGGGAGCAAACAGG